GACGAACGCUGGCGGCGUGCUUUAGGCAUGCAAGUCGAACGCGAAAGCCCCUUCGGGGGUGAGUAGAGUGGCGAACGGGUGAGUAACACGUGGGUAACCUGCCCCUCGCAGGGGGAUAACCGGGGGAAACCCCGGCUAAUACCCCGUACGCUUGCUGGGGCGCAUGCUCCGGCAAGGAAAGGUAGCUUCGGCCAUCCGGCGAGGGAGGGGCCCGCGGCCCAUUAGCUAGUUGGUGGGGUAACGGCCCACCAAGGCGACGAUGGGUAGCUGGCCUGAGAGGGUGGUCAGCCACACUGGACUGAGACACGGCCCAGACUCCUACGGGAGGCAGCAGCCAGGAAUCUUGCGCAAUGGGCGAAAGCCUGACGCAGCAACGCCGCGUGGGCGAUGAAGGCCUUCGGGUCGUAAAGCCCUGUUGUCGGGGACGAAGGGCGAAGGGUUAAUAGCCCCUAGCCUGACGGUACCCGACGAGGAAGCCCCGGCUAACUACGUG
rnacentral:rRNA from 1 species